GCCUUGAACCUGGAGUCACUGUGGCAGGGCCAUCAGCCUUGAACCUGGAGUCACUGUGGCACGGCCGUCAGCCUUGAACCUGGAGUCACUGUGGCACAGCCAUCAGCCUUGAACCUGGAGUCACUGUGGCACGGCCAUCAGCCUUGAACAGGGAGUGCCACAAAUGAUGGGAAGGUCCAGUCAGCUCAGAUAACCAGAAAGUAAACACAAUACAAAACGCGUUCCAGUAAUAAAAUGGAAACAACUAAACAUGGAAAGAACUCAGCAGGUACCAAAGGAAAUGGAUGUGAAAUGAUGACCUUGGGCACAUAAAACUACGGGUCUCAGCGCUCUGGUCAAAGAGGCGAAGUCGGUUAAAAGGCAAGAGAAUGGGUGGUCACCUGUGUCUCCUGAAGAGCACAGCAGCAGAGCAGCGUUUCUCAGAGCUCCAGGAGGCAAGCCUGAACCCCAGAUGGACCUGCCCAUCUACCCUGGACCCGCUAGGUGAUGGACUGUCCCCGAUCCCAGGGGAGAUGGUGGGCUUGUCCCUCCUGAGCCCGCCGCCGGCUGACCUCCUCCAGCCCUGCCAGCCCUGGGGAGACGCGCCCUAAAAGCUGCAGGUAGCAAGAGCUCCGCAGAGAAGAGAGGAACCGGGUCACCAAGGGCAGUGUGCAGCCACCACCUGGCAGGCAAAGCAUCAGCACCACAGCAUCUGGUCCACGCCCCAGACCACACAGUGAGCCAAAGCAGGCUGACCCCGCAGGGACAGUCGGGCUGGGUCUGGCACAUCCCAGGAACACAGGCCCGACACCUGAUCUGGUCCAUCGACCGUUUCACACACCUGGCCAGGUAACUGAAGAUGAGUUAGCUCACAUUGUCUCAGGCCCCUGACGUGGAGAUUGGUCACAGCAGUGCCGAGGACGGUGCCAUCCUCCGUACUUGCCGAAGGAUCCAGAGUGUGUCCCCUGCGAGAAUGCACAUCUCACCUCCUUCAAUGAAAGCGCAAACCUCACUCCUGUCCCCUUGGGAAACGGCCCAGGCCAGUCCUGCAGGAAACCCAGGGUCACCCUGGCCCGGCCCUCCUAAGCCCACGGCCUGAAGUCUCGAUGCUGCUUCUUCCAGCUGGCUCGUGGCUGACUCCUCUUCCUCUGGGUGUUUCUCAGUCUGAACACACAGGGAAGCUGGUAUCCUACGCAGGCUCAGGAAGCGGGAAGUGGACGUUCAGUCUGGGGUGCUUAGUUUUAAAGCAGCUGAGCCAAGGUCCACAGGAAAUGCUUCUCAGAGAACUGAGUCCUGAGCUGAAGGCUCAGAGAGGGGCGCAGGCUGGGGUCCCCAGAAUGCCUGGGUUCCGGGCACACGGGGCCUGGGAGGGGCCCGCAACAGGAGCCAAAGGCUGGUGCUGAGGCAGGGGACUUGCUAUGAGGGGUCAAGGGAGAGGGAAGGUUAGGGAAAGACAACAGGUGUUCUCAGAAACAAGGGAUUUGUCACUCAGUCAUCACGAACAUCACUGUUUAAUUAGUGAGAAAUCGUUAAGGGUACACGUGGAAGAAGGGAGGAUUUGGAUACCCAGGAGUGAUUUUCCCAGCGAGGGAGAGGUUGUCUGUCCUGAAUGCUUGAGCUCAAAUCCGUAUCAAAUCUAAAAAUCUUCAAAGUAGGUGGCACACACCUGGGAUCUGGGCUACUCAGGAGGCUGAGGCAGGAGAGUCACAAAUUGGAGGCCAGCCUCUGCUGCUUAGCCAGACCCUGCCUCUAAAUAAACGACAUAGGGCUGAGGGUGUAGGUCGGUGGAAGAGCCCUUACCUGCAUGCACAGGAAACAGGGUUCCCUCCCAGUUCUGUGGGAAAAGUCAGUCAAGACAGGCAGAAGGAUUUGCAGGUAGAAACCCCAUCUCCGUCCCGAGUCUGCAGGUGUCUGUUCCUGCUGGCACUUCCCCACUCGUGUGCUGGUGGCAGGUCAUGUGACUGCGUGCUGCACAUUAGACCCAUGCCCACAUGGAGCGACGCUGCGGAUGGGAUGUCUAGCCCCUGGGUUCAGGUGGUGGAAUCCUCAGCCAGGUGUUGAAGGGGGACCCAAAUGCAGAUGUGAUGUCCUCCGUGUUAUUUUUGUGCUAAGAGAGAAGAGGCCUGGGUGGGGGAGAUUAGGGAGGACAACGGGAGGGCAGGUCUGGGGAGGGAUGCAGACGUGAACUCCAGUACUCAGGUGACGUCCUGAGGCAGAUAAGCAAGGACAUGCACGGGACUUCACGGGACUUCAGAAUGUCCUGUGGACGCUGGCGUUAGAGGGCUACUCCGGCAUGGCUGAGGGCUGCUUGAGGGAAGGACGCUUCUUCUGCAUCCGCAAUAAUGUGGGAGAGUGCCUGGCCACGGGGGCAGACCCUGGAGCUCUGGAGCCACAGGAAGAGCGUGUCAGACCAGCGACCGGCCCUGAGACCUCGCCCAGAGAGCUCCUGGGCUUUCUCCCGGCUGCUGGGACGGGUGGGUGUGUGGGGCAGCAGACGUCUGUGCUGCUGCGUGUGAGCGGAAACUCGCCAACGGCACGAGACUCGGUCCUGCCCGGGUUCCACUUCUGUUUUCACUCUUUUCUUUAUCUCAAGGGUCUUGAACCCUGGCGUUUCCCACUCAUAUAACUUCCACUCGGCAAGGCUGACACGUUGAGGAGAGUUGAUUUAAAUAAGUUUAUCUUGUGGGCUCUCUCCAUCUGCCACCCCUUACCUCCUCCAACUACUGUGACAAAGGUCUGCAGAGAGGCCAGGACACGGGUCCAGAUGUCCUCGGAAGCUGCUCAGUCGGUAAUCGCCUUUGGACCUGCUGAAUGCACCCGUCCUGGCCACUGGGGCUCUUGUAUCCAAGGCCGUGAACAGCCGUCUGGGGCUGUACUGAAGCUCUGAAGGGCGUUUCCUGUGAAGCGGUUUCUAGAAAGACGUCCAGCUUUAUGAGAAUCGGAGCUCAUGGCCAGACAUCCCCUAGCCCCGGCUCUGGCCCCCGUCUGUGAUGUGGACGCUCUCCUGGGGCUGCAGUAGGCAGGUCAUUUCCAGCCUCAUUUGGCCCAGACAAGAAGCGAGCGUCCCCCGAAUUGCAGGUCCUCCCAGGGAACGGCUUCACCACCCCUGUCUGUUCCACUUAGCCUCUGGAACCGACGGAGCAGCACAAGUGGAGGGAGGGAUCUGCACGCUCAGCAUCAGGCCGGGGAGAUGCACCCCCACCCAUGUCCAGAGGCCCCCAGCCUUGGCAGAGGAGGCAGCAGGAUGGCACCCCAGCCAGAGAGUUCUGGGGGCAACAGGAGAGGCAGGGCCCGGAUCAGUCACCCAGAGCCCUACCCUCGGAGCUCCUUCCUGCCACUCCCCUGGGCCCAGGUCCUGAGUCCUGGGUCCUGGGGUGGCCCUGGCAUUGAGCAGUGUUCCGCUCUGGAGGCUGCAGGGCCUCCCCUGGAGAGGCCGCUCAGAGCAUCCUUGGGUCUGUGCCAGGGGACCAGGGAGUGAGCGGCCGCCCAUCUGUCUCCUGUUCCGAGCCAUGAGAAAUGGCGUGGUGAUUGUGUAACACGGAGCCACCCCAAGAACAAGUUGGUCAGGCAGCGGCGGCACCGGCAGCAGCAAGCCGGAGCUGAAUUCCAUUUAAAUAAAAUGCCAAACGGCAGUCAGUGAAAGUGACAUUUAUGGUGUUACUACAAAUGCAUUCAGUGGGAAAGCGCAGCGGCAGAAGCAGGGGGAAAACCAGCCGUGGUGGAAACUGCCAUCUGUAUAUUGUGCCCCGUUUUUAAUAUUCUGUAUUCUCAUAAAAAGUGUUGUUUCUGUCACUAUUCAAUCUCACAAACUCACACAGAACACUGUUAAAAGUCAGCAGUGUGUGAAAUGGUAUUUUAAAAUAAAUGAAACCCGCUCUCAGAGCUGCGGAGGAAUAUUGCAAUGCCGGGCGCUGACAGACAGGCACUGAAAAGUAACAACCGUUAUCAUCUUAAAGCAAAGCGGAUUAAAUAAAAACCCACAGCCAGCGGUGCAUUACCAAGUCUGAUAUUGACACAGCUGCGCCGUGGUUAUUUUUCAUUGUCUCAUCAAGACAGAGCAUCAUGGGGUAUCAAUCUUCCCUCUGUCAGGCGGGCCCGGGUAAAGUUUUUCGUUUACAUUUUCAUUAUAUC